AGAGUUUGAUCCUGGCUCAGAACGAACGCUGGUGGCGUGUUUUAUACAUGCAAGUCGAGCGAGGACGGUAGCAAUACCGAGCCGAGCGGCGAACGGGUGAGUAACGCGUAAGCAAUCUGCCCCACAAUCGGGAACAACCGUGCCAACGCGCGGCUAAUGCCGGAUAUUGUAGUCUACUGCAUAGUAGGCCAACGAAAGAUUUAUUGUUGUAGGAUGAGCUUGCGUCCGAUUAGCUAGUUGGCGGGGUAAUAGCCCACCAAGGCGACGAUCGGUAGCCGGCCUGAGAGGGUGAUCGGCCACAUUGGGACUGAGAUACGGCCCAGACUCCUACGGGAGGCAGCAGUAGGGAAUAUUGCGCAAUGGGGGGAACCCUGACGCAGCAACGCCACGUGUGGGAAGAAGCAUUUCGGUGUGUAAACCACUGUCGGAAAGGAAUAACGGAAGACUUCGGUCUUUAUGAAUGUACUUUUAGAGGAAGCACCGGCAGACUUCGUGCCAGCAGCCGCGGUAAUACGAGGGGUGCAAGCGUUGUUCGGAAUCACUGGGCGUAAAGGGAGCGUAGGCGGAAGUGCAAGCAAUCUGUAUAAUCCUGGGGCCCAACCCCAGUUCUGCAGAUUGGACUGUAUUUCUUGAAUAGUUCAGAGGCAAGCGGAAUUUCUGGUGUAGCGGUGGAAUGCGUAGAGAUCAGAAAGAACACCAAUGGCGAAGGCAGCUUGCUGGGGACUUAUUGACGCUGAGGCUCGAAAGUGUGGGUAGCAAACAGGAUUAGAUACCCUGGUAGUCCACACUGUAAACGAUGCAUACUGGGUGUCCGUAAUUGGUUUCCGGGACCGUAGCUAACGCGUUAAGUAUGCCGCCUGGGGAGUUCGUACGCAAGUAUGAAACUCAAAGGAAUUGACGGGGGCCCGCACAAGCGGUGGAGCAUGUGGUUUAUUUCGAAGCAAACGCGCAGCACCUUACCAGGGUUUGACAUGGAAUCGCCGCAGCGAGAGAUCGCUGUUUAGUAGCAAUACUUCGGUUCACACAGGUGCUGCCUGGCUGUCGUCAGCUCGUGUCGUGAGAUGUUGGGUUAAGUCCCGCAACGAGCGCAACCCACGUUUCUAGUUGCUACCCGCAAGGGAGCUCUCUAGAGAGACUGCCGGGGACAGCCCGGAGGAAGGCGUGGAUGACGUCAAGUCCUCAUGGCCCUUACAUCCUGGGCUACACACGUGCUACAAUGGUCGGUACAAUGGGUCGCAAUAUCGCGAGAUGGAGCCAAUCCCUAAAGCCGGCCU
rnacentral:rRNA from 1 species